CAAUGGGAUAUCGAGAAAUGUUUACAUAUAUUAUAAAAAAAGUGAGGUGAUUACUACGUUAAGUACACGCUCGAGUUGCACGCAAGCAGCCAGGCGAAGCAACAACAGCAGGAGCGAUACAAACCGGGUGCUUAGAAAUAGCAACUCGCCAAACGGACACAAACAAGCCCAAGCGUACACAGAGGAACGAUCAAAAGGAAGAAGAAGAUGCAAAAGGGAGAAGAAAAAAAAGGAAUCAUUAAUUAUUUUUCCAUAUUGAAUAUGGUUCUCUGGUACAGCUUAAUAAUAAUCAAUUCUUAUUGGUCGUACUGAUAAUAAUUAAGUAACCAAUUAUGUUAAGCAGCGUGCGCCAAACAAGCUAGUCGCGCACGUACGCCAAGAACAAUGCGACGGCAUGGAUCGUACGGCCAGGAUUGCCCGAGCGGGUGGGCGGCGAUGCGACCGUGUACGUACACGUGUACGCCUACUCGUCGGGGCUCACGACACGUCCACUGGCUUGCACAGGAAGAGCAGCGACGACGGCUGCGGCU
rnacentral:lncRNA from 1 species